rnacentral:rRNA from 1 species
GACGAACGCUGGCGGCGUGCCUAAUACAUGCAAGUAGAACGCUGAAGAGAGGAGCUUGCUCUUCUUGGAUGAGUUGCGCACGGGUGAGUAACGCGUAGGUAACCUGCCUGGUAGCGGGGGAUAACUAUUGGAAACGAUAGCUAAUACCGCAUAAAAUGGAUUAUCGCAUGAUAAUCCAUUGAAAGGUGCAAAUGCAUCACUACCAGAUGGACCUGCGUUGUAUUAGCUAGUUGGUGGGGUAACGGCUCACCAAGGCGACGAUACAUAGCCGACCGGAGAGGGUGAUCGGCCAAACUGGGAAUGAGACAAGGCCCAGAAUCCUACGGGAGGCAGCAGGAGGGGAUCUUUGGGAAUGGACGGAAGGCUGAACGAGGCACGCCGCGUGAGUGAAGAAGGGUUUCGGAUCGGAAAGCUCUGUUGUAAGAGAAGAACGAGUGGGAGAGUGGAAAGUUCACACUGUGACGGUAUCUUACCAGAAAGGGACGGCUAACUACGUG